AUGACAAAGCCAGCUUCUGACACAUGUUUGAUGGAUCUGGACCCCAAGGAAGAAUUUGAAGGUCAGCCACCUGUCCCGCCUAAAGUGCAUCUCUUCCCUCCGUCUCAGGAAGAGAUCAAGAUCAAGGGCAAAGGCACCCUGGUCUGUCUCGUAGACGGCUUUCACCCAAAGACCGUCCAAGUCAACUGGCAGGCUGAUGGGAAAGCCAUCUCCUCAGGAGUGCAAACCAGCGAGCCCGCCAAACAGGGUGACAAGUAUAUGGCCACCAGUUACCUGACCGUCACUCCCUCAGACUGGGAAAACCAUCAGAGAUACAGCUGCAUAGUGACGCACGACGGGAAGACCUUCGAGGAGGUGGUGAAGCCAUCCGCGUGUCCAUAA